rnacentral:tRNA from 1 species
GGUAUUGCUGUUUUGGAAACAAAUAAUUUUGAAAGUUGUUAAAAGACGUUCAACUCGUCUGCUUGCCU